rnacentral:misc_RNA from 1 species
AAGAGGAUUGCCUUCAAGUUCACUGUAGUGUAGGUGUUGUUAAGUCACACACAGAAGGUCCUAAGACUUACUCUAUAGCAGUACCGUCCUCUAACAUUGGUCAGCAUUUUGGGCAAUUAUUGGAAAGUGGAAAGGGAACUGACGUAAAAUUUGAAGUUGAUGGAGAAGUUUUUGCUGCUCACAAAUUGGUACUUGCUACUCGAUCACCUGUAUUCAGGGCCCAACUUUUUGGUCCAAUGAAGGAUCAAAAUACCCAGU